UUGGAAGGAACUUUAUUUGCAGCAGUUUGCAAGAGGUACCUCUCUAUUAUGAUGGGAUUGGGGGCAUACGUUUGUCAUUAAAACUUUCUGACUCUAGCCAAACACCUAUAGAGAUUGGAUUGGAUCUGGAGAAAUUGUUGCAGAAGGUUAUUUUAUUUCAAGUGACCCAAAGGAUGAGGUUCACC